CAGUUGGCAUUUAUGUUUGUACGUUUUUAAUUAUAUUCUUUGAUCUCGUGGAUUGUUUCCUUAUUACAGAGUAUUUUCUCUCCCUCCUAAAGCGCGCUAGUCUAUGUGGACACUGCAAUACCACUUGUUCACACGUAGAGGGCACUAGUAUCGAGUCAGACGUAGUCAUUAUUCAUUUAAUCACGGUUUCUCAUAUUUAAAAAAAAUAAAAUAAAAUAAAAAAAAAUACCCCCAACUCCGGUACCUAACUCGUUCCACAGUUAGCAUCUGUGCCACGGACAUGAAUUCAUACCUGGAUACCGUAAAUGUUGCAGCGUAUUGAACAGAGGUUUGCCUGACAUUUUCCUAUUGCGUGUCUGAAUCCCCUCUUUCUUCAUAAUAUUCACACUUUUUCUACUUUUGAGUUAUCGGUUCUCCCGAUAAGGUCUACCGAUAAGUGCCGCUAUUUGGUGAGGAUCUAAAGAAUAGCACCCACAAGGAAGCAACAGCUUUCACAGAAUGCCUUGCAGGCCUGGUUUUCACCACAUCAGGAUACAGGGCUGCUGGCUUAAUUCCGGUAUGAAACGGAGCGCUGGUGCACCGCAAUGUGUGUGUCAUACAUAUGCACAUCCCUCUUCAGACAGAGGGACAGGUGCUGUAACGGACACUUGCUUUUGCUCACAUGUUACAUUCGUUAAGUGCAGCCACUCCGAGUGCAACCAAUUACUUUCAUGUCACACACACGAACUUUAUACACACCGAUUCACUCUGUGCAGGUAAUUACCAGAGCAACAUCUCACCUAAUAGAGAGAUGCUUUAGAGUGUAAAAUUGUUAAAAGAAAAUGGUGUAUAUCUUGGGAUGCCAGUAGCAGUUCUUCGUAAAGGCCCAUUAAAGGUGAAUUAGCCAAAGCUAGUAUAAAUGGUUAGGAAGUGCUAGCAUUGGACAUUGUUCAUGAGCAUUGUAUUCUAAGAUAUUUCAAAAGCGAUGUCACUUUGCAACUUUAUUCUGACUUUAAUUGAAUGUGUAUACCUUUAAGUUAGAGAAUAGGUCUCACUUAUUUCUAACAAUUAAAAAGUGACAAUUUGCAAGAUCAUGAGCAAAUUUACUGCUAUCUAUUAACAUAGUGCCAUAUUAAACAAUUGUAUCAGUGUUUUGAUUGUGUAAGUGCAAGGCAGUUGGACAUAAGAAACAUAAUAUGAAAGUAAGCUUAAAAAAAAGGUGUUUUAGUGAGCGAAGGGGACAAGAUUGACUCAAAUCUUGAGGUAUAUUUUUAUAUACAAUGGAAUUGGGUGAUACUCAAUGGUUGUUCCCCAAUCUUUAUUAUGUUAAGCCAUAAUGGACUUCAAUUAAGAAUCUGCUGAGAUGGCACU